CUCAGAAAAAAAGUACUUAACUUCACCCUCCAGCACCAAAGCUAAAAUUCUAAUUUAAACUAUUCUCUG
rnacentral:tRNA from 1 species